CUUGUGGGAGUUGUGUGGGUCGAAUGUAGAUGUGGUUGAGUUCGCUGGGUGUUGAAGUUCGAGGACAUUCAGAUCAGGCCGUGGAUCUCGUACGCCUUUCUUCAGCAGGAAUUCGGUCAGAGACUCUCUCUCCCAACUUUGCUCUGAAAUUUCUUUCUCCAAUAACAUGUAUGGAGGUCGCAACAUUUCCAGUGAUCGCCAGGUAAUCACCUUGAAGAUUCAGAGGGAUUUUGGAUUUGCUCCGGCGAGGUGGUGAAGAAGAGUGGAGUGGAGGUGACCAAGAUGGAAUUUGUUAGAAACUACUGCAGCAGUAGCAACAAGAAGAAGAUCAAGAUCAAGAAGAAUAAUUUGUGGCAGCGGAGUGAAGGUAUGUGUAGAGGUCCGGCGGGCGGCCAAGGCGAGGCUGCCGCCCGCCGGUGAAGCACAAUGAUUAGGUUGUUAACUUAGCUCUGAUACCAUGUAAGAUAUUAUGUAUAUAUUGAUGUAUUGAAUGUUGCAUUGAAUAUUUCUUACAAGGGGAAUGCAUUCUCUUUUAUAGAGAGAAUUUGAGCA